AACGAAACCUAACUGGUAGGGAGGAACUGGGCAAGAAAGUGAAGGAAAGUAGUAGAACUGUCAGGUAGAAAAUGGGAAGCGAGGCAAAGAGCAAUAGCAGCAGUGGAGGAGGAGGAUUCAGGUCAAAAAUAGAUAAUUUCUUGUACAGUGGAGACAAGAAGCAUGUCUUGGCUGGUAUCGCCAUCAUCAGUGUUGCUUUUGGCGUCCCCUGGUACCUCAUGAGCCGAGGAACAAAACAUCAGUCCCACCAAGAUUACUUGGAAAGAGCCGAUAAAGCACGAAGUGAAAGACUUUCCUCUAGUUCUGCACGAUGAGCUUUGCAGACUCUUGAAGGGAUCGAUAACCAGUGAGAAUUUUACAUUUGAAAGUAUAAUUAAUGGCCCCUUGUUAUUGAGCACACUUCCCUUCGCCUUUUAUGUGCCAAAACUAGUUGACAGCCCUGAUCAGGGUGAUUUUCUUUCCUAUGUUAUUUAGAUGCACAUAUGAUUUUCGGUUGAGAAGUUGAAAUAUUUGAGAAUUAGAAGUCUAGUUAGAAACUCCAUCAGAAAAUUUUCUUCUGGCAAUUAGAUAGUACACAUUCGCUGAAUGGAAAUAAGUAUGGUUUGUGUUGGAGAUGG
rnacentral:misc_RNA from 1 species